CUGUGACUUACUAAAAAAUAUUAGCUAUCCGCUUAAUAAACUAUUUAAUGCAAUGCGGAAGUGUCAUGCACGUACAGGAAUCUCAGGGUCAGUAAUCAGGACAAGAAGUAAUGGGUUCUUGAGAAAGUUAGAUUUAAUAAAAAGACAUGAAAGAAUUGGUUCUCAAAUAGAGUGGUGGAUGAAUGUAUGUUAGUGCUGAGUCAUUCAGGAGGUUUAAAAGAAGACUUGACAUGUAUAUGGAUGGGAAUGACAAGUGGAAAUAGGUAGGCAUGUUUCAUACAGGGACUGCGACGUGUAUUCUUGCAGCUUCCCUUAUUUUCCUCUGGUCUUAUGUUUUUAAAUUUAGUUUUGUUAGGCAUGAAAAAGUGUAAGGUUUAGUCGUUUUCUCUCGCAACUUCCCUGUUCCAGUACUCCUUCACUGCAUUCCCUUCCUCCUUCAUUUAUUUGAAAUAAUUUACUGGCAGGUUCUAAAAAUAAUGAAGAAAUGCAGGAAUAUUCGUUUGUGUUAAUUUGGUCUUCUAUGAAUCAUGAAAUUGCAAGUUUUGAUGAAUGUUGUGGUAUGUUAAGAAGAGUUUGUUCGCAGGCAGCGAGUGGCGGGGCGAGGCCGGGCCGCUGUUUGAAGGGACGGGUAGAUUAUCCCCGUGUCGUCCUUUACCUCUCGUGGAGAAUGUAUGUCCUGCGCCGCGCCGGGAUGAGUUGUCAGUCAGUCUCCUGAAGUAUGUGUUGGAGAGACAGCCACCACCACCACCUUUGCCUGAGGAAUGGCACUGCCCUUUGCCGUCACCUCCAGAUGGCCUGCCCUGGAGCGUUCCUCUCUUCACCUAAAGCCACAGGCUGUGUGUGGCUGGCCAGGCAGCACAUCCCUCACCCCACCGUCUCCCUGGCACCGUGGUGAGGCAAGCUGACCACCACUGAGGGCAGGCACACCUGUCGGGCAGUACAGCAAUGGAUCUCCGCACACCAGUGAAUCUGAGGCACAGACGGAGAACACGGACACCACUGCUGGGAAGAUAGUUAUCACUGCUGUGCUGAUCUGUGGCUCCUUGGCUGUUCAUAAGACAUCAUGAAUUAGCUGCAGCUUUCUCCCCCUGACUCAGCGCCAGACUGCACGUCACAUGCUGCAGUGGUGUGUGUUGCAUGCCUCGGCUUGCUUCAUCUACAAGGUUGGCAGUCUUAAUUGGUAUCAUCAGACAACAAGGAGUGCAGUUUUGUCUUCUGUAGGUUGAAGUAAUUCAGUUUGGUAUGUGUCAAUGUGCUGCUGAAUGUUGUCUGUCAGAAGCAAGGUAUUGAAGCAUUUUGGAGCAACUUUCCAGUUACACUUGUCAUAAUUACAUUUUGUUUUUUAGUUUAGGUUCUGCAGUGAUUGCAGAACCUGAAGUGUUGAUACAAACUCACCAAAACAAUAAAAUUAUGACACUUAGGUAUAACUGAAAAAUUGUUUCCAAAUUGUUUAACCCUUUCAGUUUGCAGUGCAGGUGUGUGUGGUCAGUGGUACACCUAGGCAGACUCUCAUGCCAACACUUGAACUGCUGCCAGGGAAUACAAGUACUCCAAGCCAUACAAAUGUACAUGCUCAGUAUGAAAUAUUAAUCAGCAUAUUUAGAGUAGGAUAGUGCAUGCAGAGAUACACAGUGUAGUUGAUAAUUGGCGUUUUGAGCAUCCCACUCGUAAUCACCCAUUACAGUGUGUUUCUCUGUAUGCACUCCACAACUCUGCAAAUGUUGAUUGAUAUUUCAUACUGAAUAUGCACAUCUGUAUGGCUUCAAGUACUUGUAUUCACUGGCAGCAGUUAAAGUGUUGGCAUGUGUGAGUCUGCCCAGGCGUGGCACAACUGAACUGAAAGGGUUAAACAAUUUGGGAGCAAUUUUUCAGAUAUACCUGUGUCAUAUAUAACUUAAUUUGGUUUUGGUGAGUUUCUAUUUACACUUCAGGGUUCUGCAAUUACUGCAGAACCUUAGGAUACCAGUUAAAACAGAUCAUCUAUCUACCUUGCACACACAAGAUCCAGCACCCGAGUGACUGCAGAACCAACACUAAAAAAACAAAAUGGAAUUAUGCCAAGAGUAAGCAGAAAGUUGAUCCAGAAUUUGAAAUACCUUGUGACUGGCAAUGUUCAAUAGCACGUUGACAUAUUCAAGCUACUGAAGACAAAACUCCACUCCUUGCUGUCUCAUGAUGGCAAUUAGAACUGCCAACCUUGUACAUAAAACAAGCCAAGAAGGCAUACAACACAACACAACACAACACACCCACCACUGCAGCAUGAUUUACAGCCUAGUGCUGAGUUGGGGAGAGAAGGCUGCAGCUGCUCAGCAAUGUACAUUCUUGCUGGGCUAGGAGCCAAGGAUCAUCCUCACACAAUGACAGAUCCUGUGCAAACCAUGCCAUGUGCAGGCCUGGCCUCUUGUGGCUUCCCUGGGUUGUGUUCUCCAUGCUUCUGUCUCACUAGCUAUGUGCAGGCCUGGCCUCUUGUGGCUUCCCCAUGUUCUCCAUGCUUCUGUCUCACCAGUCAUGUGUAGGCCUGGCUUCUUGUAGCUUUCUGUGUUCUUGAUGCUUCUGUCUCACCAGUUGUGUGUAGGCCUGGCUUCUUGUAGCUUUCUGUGUUCUUGAUGCUUCUGUCUCACCAGUCUCAAGGGCAUCAGUCUUCAUCCUGGUGUCUCUCAGUGUGUUCUUCUUGGAAGUCACUCUGGAACGAAGAUACAAAAAGUGUUAGUGCCAAAACUUUGCUUUACACAGUAGUGGUGGAAAGUCUUGGCAUGAACCUGCUGUGCCAAGAAGUACUGCCAGUAUGGUGCAGACCACCACAGCAUCUCUGACCUGGCAGCAAGUCUUGGCCACCUGGGGACAGGCUGGGGGAGAGUGGGCAUCCCAGUGACAUGAGUCACUACAGUAGUAGGUCACUCAUCUGUGAGCUGUUACUCUGAGAUCAAAGAUUUCAUUUCACCACCACACAUUGUCUCCACCCACACCUUAAUCCUUUUGACACUGGAGCAAUGGGUGGUGGAAAAGAGCUGCAAGAAUCACACCUGGCAGCCGUAGCAACACUCAGCCACUGUCGAAAGGCAAACAAGG